rnacentral:rRNA from 1 species
UACGUAGGGACCGAGCGUUGUCCGGAUUCAUUGGGCGUAAAGAGCUCGUAGGCGGCCACUCAAGUCGAAUGUGAAACCUCGAGGCUUAACCUCGAGCCUGCAUUCGAUACUGGGCGGCUAGAGUCUGGUAGGGGGAUCUGGAAUUCCUGGUGUAGCGGUGGAAUGCGCAGAUAUCAGGAGGAACACCGGUGGCGAAGGCGGGAUCCUGGGCCAGUACUGACGCUGAGGAGCGAAAGCUAGGGGAGCGAACAGG